rnacentral:rRNA from 1 species
GUGACGUUACCAAACUGUUGCCUCGGCGGGGUCACGCCCCGGGUGCGUCGCAGCCCCGGAACCAGGCGCCCGCCGGAGGAACCAACCAAACUCUUUCUGUAGUCCCCUCGCGGACGUAUUUCUUACAGCUCUGAGCAAAAAUUCAAAAUGAAUCAAAACUUUCAACAACGGAUCUCUUGGUUCUGGCAUCGAUGAAGAACGCAGCGAAAUGCGAUAAGUAAUGUGAAUUGCAGAAUUCAGUGAAUCAUCGAAUCUUUGAACGCACAUUGCGCCCGCCAGUAUUCUGGCGGGCAUGCCUGUCCGAGCGUCAUUUCAACCCUCGAACCCCUCCGGGGGAUCGGCGUUGGGGAUCGGGACCCCUCACACGGGUGCCGGCCCCGAAAUACAGUGGCGGUCUCGCCGCAGCCUCUCCUGCGCAGUAGUUUGCACAACUCGCACCGGGAGCGCGGCGCGUCCACGUCCGUAAAACACCCAACUUUCUGAAAUGUUGACCUCGGAUCAGGUAGGAAUACCCGCUGAACUUAAGCAUAUCAAUA